rnacentral:rRNA from 1 species
UGUUACUCAUAACAAAAAAUUUUUGGAACAGUACUAUUAAUGAAAUUUAACGGAUUUGGCGGCAAGAUAGCCACUUAGAGGAACCUGCCCUGUAAACGAUGAACCACGAUUAACCUUACUUUUAUUAGAAUCCAGUUUGUAUACCGCUGUUGUCAGUUAGUUUCUUUAGAAAACUUUCGUACAUGAAAAGUUCAAGGACUUCAAGUAAAGGUGCAGCUUAUGUAAAAGAUAGAGGUGGGUUACAAUUAAAAGAAUAAUAUGGAUAAAGUAGAGAAGAAACUUUUGAAGGUGGAUUUAAUAGUAAAGUUUAAAAAGACUUGAUUAGAGCUCUAUCUUGUGUACACACCGCCCGUCGCUCGCGAAAAAAA